AUUGAACGCUGGCGGAAUGCUUUACACAUGCAAGUCGAACGAUGAACCUUAGCUUGCUAAGGGGAUUAGUGGCGAACGGGUGAGUAAUAUAUCGGAACGUAUCCAAUAAUGGGGGAUAACUAGUCGAAAGAUUAGCUAAUACCGCACACGUCCUACGGGAGAAAGCUAGGGACCUUCGGGCCUGGCGUUAAUGGAGCGGCCGAUAUCUGAUUAGCUAGUUGGUGGGGUAAAGGCUCACCAAGGCGACGAUCAGUAGCUGGUCUGAGAGGACGACCAGCCACACUGGAACUGAGACACGGUCCAGACUCCUACGGGAGGCAGCAGUGGGGAAUUUUGGACAAUAGGCGAAAGCCUGAUCCAGCCAUUCCGCGUGAGUGAAGAAGGCCUUCGGGUUGUAAAGCUCUUUCGCAAGGGAAGAAAACUUAAGCUCUAACAUAGCUUGAGGUUGACGGUACCUUGAUAAGAAGCACCGGCUAACUACGUGCCAGCAGCCGCAGUAA
rnacentral:rRNA from 1 species